rnacentral:misc_RNA from 1 species
GUCCAGAGAGAGAGAAGCAUCAAAUGGCGGAGCUCAAAUAAAUGGUCAUCUCUACUGCCCUUGUGGUACAGUAAUAGUAACAGUAAAGUAAUAGUAGCAGUAACUACUAUAUAGAUGAUUUCUCUUUUUUAUCCCUUUUCUUGGCAUUUCUUCAACCCCUUGAAGGUGUAUCUUUCCUUUUUCUUGACGUCAUCUUUGAUCCAUCCUUUCUUCAUCAUUGUUUGCUGCUGUGCAUGCAGGAAGAGAGAAAAAAAAAUUAAAUAAAAAAGUUAAGAUUUAAGAAUAAGGAGAAGAGAGGAGAUUCCUAUAUAUGCUGUGAUAUUUUUAUGGGGACUGAACAGGGUCUGCAAAGAAAGAUUUCCGCAGUGGAGUGGUUUCCAUAUCUAGGAAUGGAAAUAGAAGAGGGAAAAUUGCCAAAUAGAAAAGAAAAAGAAAAAUUUCCUUUUGUCGUGCAUGGUGACAAUCUCUCUCUCUCUCCUUAUCGGAGAAGGGAUCAAGAAGGCCAA